rnacentral:rRNA from 1 species
GACGAACGCUGGCGGCGUGCCUAACACAUGCAAGUCGAACGCUUCUUCCCUCCCGAGUUGUUGUUCUCGAUUGGGAAGAGGGGUCGUGGACGGGUUACUACCACGUCUAUAAUUUACCCAUCAGUGAGGUAUAACACUUUACAACAGGACCUCAUACCGCAUACCAGUUUAUGCCGCAUGGCUUCAGAGCUUAAGGCGCUUUCUGGUCUGCUUGAUGGUUGGCUCCAUGGUGGAUUAGCUAGUUGGCGAGGUAACGGCUCACCAAGGCGACGAUGCAUAGCCGACCUGAGAGGAGGAUCGGCCACACUGGAACUGAGACACGGCCCAGACUCCUACGGGAGGCAGCAGUAGGGAAUAUUGGGCAAUGGGCGAAAGUCUGACCGAGCAAGGCCGCGUGAGUGAAGAAGGUUUUCGGAUCGUAAAGCUCUGUUGUUGGGGAAGAACAGGGGCGGUAGUAAAUGAAGGUGCCCUGACGGUAUCUAAACAGUAAGCAACGGCUAACUACGUG